GAUUGUAAUUGUUUGAACGGCUGGGCUAAUUCCAAUUUAUUUAGUAAUUAAUACAGAUAUGCAACAUGGGCUACUUGUGCUGCACUAUUCAUCAGUGAAAUACCCGUGUGGUGUGCCAAAAAAACUUGCGUACACGAGCUCAGACCUGAUGUGAGAUUUCAUCGCAGCCUGCGCUCAUGUUCAAAUUGAUAAAUGCCAAGCUCAACGUUGAAAUAAGCGUACGUCCAUUUUACGCACGUUUUCUGUCGUACGCUCGUUUGAUAAAUGAGGGCCAUAGUGUGGUGGCCCAGCCGCUGAGCAGUGCCCCACAUGGCCAUGGGGUGGCCACAAAGGCAGGCAAAGCCAGCCAAGGGGUGUGGUUCUGGAUGGGAGGUACUACUCAGCUUACCCUGCACAGGUGCGCUGAGUUAGCCCUGCAAUCAGAGGGCCUUUUUAACUCCACCAGAACAGGCUGAAGAGGGACUGGCUGGGGGAGCGUGUGGAGACCAGAGACACGUUAGGCCAGUCUCGUGGCCGGCAGCUGAAGAGGAACCCCAACGACUUGAAGAGGAACCCCAACGACUUGAAGAGGAAACCCAAGCCGAGCUAGGGCGAAGAGGUCAGUGGCAGGGACCACAGACCCCACUAACCUCGGACUAUCUUUCUCUCUCUCUCUGGCCCCACCCCGGGAAGAGCCAGAAAGGGCACCCUGACGACAGCCGCCAACCCGGUGAAGAUUUGAGUUGCCUUUUGCCCCCUCCCUUUUCCCCCUGCACCUUUUUAUAAAUAAAUGACUUAAGUUGAUUUCACCGCAA